AACGAACGCUGGCGGCGCGCCUAAUACAUGCAAGUCGAGCGAGAAGACGUAGCAAUACGUUUGUAAAGCGGCGAACGGGUGAGGAAUACAUGGGUAACCUACCCUCGAGUGGGGAAUAACUAGCCGAAAGGUUAGCUAAUACCGCGUACGCUCCUUGGACUUCGGUUCAGGGAGGAAAGCGAUACCGUGGGUAUCGCGCUCUUGGAUGGGCUCAUGUCCUAUCAGCUUGUUGGUGAGGAACGGCUCACCAAGGCUUCGACGGGUAGCUGGUCUGAGAGGACGAUCAGCCACACUGGGACUGAGACACGGCCCAGACUCCUACGGGAGGCAGCAGUGGGGAAUCUUGCGCAAUGGGCGAAAGCCUGACGCAGCGACGCCGCGUGAGGGAUGACGG
rnacentral:rRNA from 1 species